GGUUGAUCCUGCCAGUAGUCAUAUGCUUGUCUCAAAGAUUAAGCCAUGCAUGUCUAAGUAUAAACUAAUUUAUACGGUGAGACUGCGGAUGGCUCAUUAAAUCAGUUAUAGUUUAUUUGAUGGUCCCUUUUUUACUACUUGGAUAACCGUGGUAAUUCUAGAGCUAAUACAUGCGCAAGGUCCCGAACCGGGCGGCGUAAAAAACCGCCCAGAGAGGGAUGUAUUUAUUAGGUAAAAAACCAGCGCGGGGCAUACCAAACUGCGUUGGUGUGGCCCCGGAACUCUCGGGGGGG
rnacentral:rRNA from 1 species